GCUCCAGGACAGACUUCCUGACGCUGGCCAAGGCCGAGCCAAUCAGGAGUGACAGUAACACCUCUGUGAUAACAUAUUUAAGAACAAAAGACUGUCGCACAGAAGGAAUUCCAGCCAGGGAAGAGCGGAGAACAUGGGAACAAUGUAGACACCAAGGUCAGUACAGAAGGAGGAGCAGGAGGUGCUCCAGGUGCCGGAGCUGAAGCCCCUGCAGCCCGUGGCGCAGACCAUGGUGGAGCAGCUGUGCCCCUGGAGCCCAUGGAGGACCAUCAGGGUGCAGGGACCCACCUGCAGCCCAUGGAGGAGCCCAUGCUGGAGCAGGUGGAUGCAUGAAGGAGACCCCGUGAGAGACCCAGGACAGAGCAGGGUCCUGCCAGCGACCUGCAGCCCGUGCAGAGCGGAGGCCCUGCUGGAGCAGAUUUUUCCCAGCUGGGACCCUUGAAGAUCUUCUGGAAAGAACCAAAGCAACAUUUCUGAGAUGCUUUUGUCACAAUGUUUUUUUAUUAAAACAAGCACUGCUAUUGUCUACCAACCCUGACACGUUGUUCCAAGGCAGAAGAAAACCCCUGCCUGCCACUCCUACUCUUUACCUGCAUGGGAGAUGAGCCUGAAGACUGAGGCUCUACAGAGCCGUGCACCAGACUCCUAGCUCUGUAGCGAUCACAGAAUUUUAAAAUUUUUAUGACAACAAAAUCCAAGUCAAUUUAUACGAUUUUCUGUUCUUGUCUUUUGCAUUUGGAUCUGUUCUGCUUUUUCAGAAGAAUAUCUCUCAGAAGAAAAUUCUUUCUUAGGGUCUAUUAAGCUCUUUAUAACACCCGAGGACAUCUAGGAAAUAAAUCAUCUAAUUCAAGAAUCUCUCUUCUUAUAGUGAAUAAUCUGACUAAUUUUUAGGUUAGUAUGAUUCCUGAGGCAAUUUUGGGGGAGUUGGCAUUGGUUAUAUAAGGUCCUUUAACGUGAGUGGCAUGUAAGAGUCUAAUUACCUACUCUCUGCUGUCAGUGAAAAAGGGUAAGAACCUCUAUAGAAUAAUUUAGCCCAUCCUAAGAUUCAUACAUUUAAAGGAAUGAGUCAGCAUCAGGAGGUGCUGUUUCCAGGUAAGAAUCGCACUGAAUUCCAGGUGGGAGUUGUAUGCUUAGCUCCCUAAUCAAGAACGAAAAGUUUUCAACUAUAUCUAGGCACCCUAAUAUCAUAAAUAAAAAACAAUUAAAAUCUUCAGAAGCAGUUAGGAUCCAAGUCUGAAUUUCCUCUCUUGAACCCACUGUGUACCUUGGUGUGCCUAAAGGCUUUUUAAGCUCUGUCUUUUACUUUGCAAAUUUUAUCUUACAGUUUAUUUUUAGAAUUGAGAUGGACGUUUUGCCCUAAAUUUUUUAACACAUUUGAGUAUCUUUCUACUGAUGGCAUGAAAGAGCAGCAUUUUCAAAAUCUCCACCUGGGUUCGUGUAGCUUCACUGAAAUCCAAUGCAUAAUAUUCCUGCUUAGCUAGUUCUAGAUCUUCAUGCAGUGGAGAUGCAUAUGGGUCAGGCAGAGCCUAGGACCAAUUCCUUCGGGUCGUAGAAUCACAGUAUCUUUAAGGUUGAAAAAGACAUCCGAGACCAUUGAGUCCAACCUUUGACUGAUCACUACCUGGUGAAUUAAAUAUGGCCUUAAGUUCCACAUACAGUCUUCUCUUAAGGCAUAGUGACUCCACAACUUCCCUGGGCAGUCCAUUCCAAUGCUUGACAACCCUUUCAGUGAAGAAGUUCUUCCUGUUGUCCAACUUAAACCUCCCCUGGCAUAGCUUGAGACUUUGUCCUCUUGACCUAUCACAAGUUGACUGGGAGAAGAGACCGACCUCCAUCUUGCUACAACCUCCUUUCAGGUACUUGUAGAGAGUGAUAAGGUCUUUCCUGUGUCCCCUUUUCUCCAGACUAAACAACCUCAGCUCUCUCAGCCACUCCUCAUAUGACUUGCUUUCUAGACCCCAAGGUCUGGGAACUCCCCGGGUUACUCUGGCUCAUUGAGUCACAGAUGUCAACAGCUUAUAUGCAGACUGAAAUAAACUUUUCGUUGUUGUUGAUUUUGA